CAGAAGCUUAACCAACUGAGCCACCCAGGUGCCCCAAGGAGAGCUCUUUUAUUCUCCAUAUCCCACAGGAUCAAAACCAAAACUGACCCAGGUCAAGGAACUUCCCUAGUUCCUGGGCUGUGAAGUGGCAGGAUCCACCACCUUCUGCCAGGAUGAUGUCCACCCUUACGGAAGAGGCAGGACUGUCUACACUGAGAGCAAGAAGCAAACCAAAGAAGGGUGCGUCUUUGGGAGACUCGGAAUGAAGAGAGCAAGCAGAGUUCAAACAUCAUCGGUGUAGCUGAGCAGAAGAGAGACUAAGGAAGAACGAAAAGAGGAGAAGGGCUCGGAUGAGACUUACGUUCAAAGAAGAAAUGGAUGA